rnacentral:rRNA from 1 species
UACAGGGGGGGCAAGCGUUGUUCGGAAUUACUGGGCGUAAAGGGCUUGUAGGCGGCCAACUAAGUCACACGUGAAAUCCCCAGGCUUAACCUGGGAACUGCGUGUGAUACUGGAUGGCUUGAAUUCGGGAGAGGGAUGCAGAAUUCCAGGUGUAGCGGUGAAAUGCGUAGAUAUCAAGAGGAACACCUGAGGCGAAGGCGGGUUGCUAGGCUGACACUGACGCUGAAGCGCGAAAGCUAGGGUAGCAAACGGG